GGGACACGUGGGUACUACCUGAUGAAAUAAGGAAGACACGUGCACCCGACUCGACCGCCAGUGUGGGAUCUAAAUACGUCUAUAAAGUUAACGACAGGGUUAAGAUUUGUUGGGCUAAUUCGUGGUAUACUGGAUAUGUACUGGAAGAAGGACCACACGUUUCAUUCAAGAUACACUACAAUGGUUGGAACAACUCCUAUGACGAGAGUGUAGAUCUGUCAGUGUGUAAGCGCAGCAAUGGAAUCGCGAUUAAAAGCGAGAACGAGGUGAACGAAGGCGACAAACUACAGGUGUUAUGGGGCGGUACCUGGUACGAAAGCCACUGUUCUCAAAAUCAUGACUUCCGUGUGCAAAGUUCGCUACGAUUCUUAUGGGCCAAGCUGGGACACCUGGUGUACUGCAGAUGAAGUGAAACCUGCAAGUAACUGAUUAUUGGAAAUGUAACCCGGAUCACAGUCCCUCUACACUGAGCAUUAGUCACUUCAUAUUGUUCUCCCCACUCCGGACGG